GGUGAUAAAUGAUGAUGAACAAAAGAAAAUGGGAAUCUCUCUGAACAAUCAUGUUGAUUUCUUUUCUGAUAUUGCC